rnacentral:rRNA from 1 species
CAGGACGAACGCUGGCGGCGUGCUUAACACAUGCAAGUCGAGCGAUGAAGCUCCUUCGGGAGUGGAUUAGCGGCGGACGGGUGAGUAACACGUGGGUAACCUGCCUCAUAGAGGGGAAUAGCCUUUCGAAAGGAAGAUUAAUACCGCAUAAGAUUGUAGUACCGCAUGGUACAGCAAUUAAAGGAGUAAUCCGCUAUGAGAUGGACCCGCGUCGCAUUAGCUAGUUGGUGAGGUAACGGCUCACCAAGGCGACGAUGCGUAGCCGACCUGAGAGGGUGAUCGGCCACAUUGGGACUGAGACACGGCCCAGACUCCUACGGGAGGCAGCAGUGGGGAAUAUUGCACAAUGGGGAAACCCUGAUGCAGCAACGCCGCGUGAGUGAUGACGGCCUUCGGGUUGUAAAACUCUGUCUUUGGGGACGAUAAUGACGGUACCCAAGGAGGAAGCCACGGCUAACUACGUGCCAGCCGCAGC